GACGCGCAGCCGGACCUUAAAUACCUCUGAGCGGCUGUACCGAGGACAUUUGACAGCUGAGAGGACCAGGUUCUUUUUCUUUCUGAUCCCUGAUGGAGCUCCUGCAGAAAUUCCUGCACCACCACCACCACCGGGUCUAAAGCUCCGCUCCGCCCGGUGUCCUCCCGUGAUUCGGUGCCCGGUUCCGUGCUCUGUGAGCGGGCCGCCGUCUCCUCCGUGACUCUCUGUUCUCAUGCGAUUCUUCAGACUCACAUUCAAGUGUUUCGUGGAUUGUUUUUGAAGGUCGCAGCCAGAUUCUUGGUAAAAUUCUCUUUAUUUUUUAUUUUUUGGAUACAUUUUUUUUAUUUUCCCCUAGAAUCGUGUCUCUUUCUCUGCAUUGGAGGAAAGAAAUGUCUCCAGAUUAUUACUAGACAUUAUUCGAUUUUUUUUCUUAAUUUUCAUUCAAAUUAAAUUGAUUUUUCACCAAAAUACAACAGAUUCUGGUGCAUUAUCCACGAUCCACCUGCACCUCGCUGAGAUUGAUAAUAAUAUUGUAUUAUUUCUGAAGAAGCAGCGAGAAUAGAGAUCCUGCACCCAGGACGGGCUGCACCUGCUGGACUGACUCAUCUGUUUCUGACCGGGACUCUGGGAGGAGGUGCUGCACACACUGAGGCUGUGAGGCUGCACAAAUAAAGAGGUUAGAGGCUGAAAAUACCAGUGCAACCAGUGCAGACUGAGGGGUUUGUUACUGGUAUCUAUCUGUGAGGAAGAGACAGAUUUCAGAACUGAAAGAAGAAGAGAAAUCAGCUUUUAAAGGUACCCAAAUAAACUGUCUAAAAAGUGCAGACUGCUCCUUUAGAUGGUGUUUGAGGGAAGUGAGUGAACUGAUUUAAAGAGGUAAAACCUGCAGAAUCAAAGGGAAGCAAAUAACUUUUGACUUCAUCUGACUCUGUUUAGAUCUGGUGAUUGGACUCGAGGUGGGAAAAUAUCAGAUUUUGAAGCAAAAACUUCCAAGGGCAAAGAGACUGAAUUUACCAGCAACCAGUGCUGACUGUGGGGUUUGUUACUGGUAUCCGACAGUGGAAAAAGACACAGAUUUUAGUACCGACAGAAGAAGAGACAACAGCCAUUAAAGGGUACAAAACACCUGAGAGUACUGUGCAAAGACUGCUCCUUUAAUUGACUGAAAUAAAUCAGAUUUAAGUGAAAUCUGCAGAAUUAAAGGGAAGCAAAGCGAGAUUUUUGACGACAUCUGACUUUGUUUGUUUCUAGUUAUUUAGGCGAGUCUAAGUGGGAAACCACCAGAUUCUGGGACUCAGAAACAGGACUUGACCGGGUUUUUGACCAACUUUGUUUUUUAAAUAAGUGAUUCCUGACUGGACUUUUGAGCGAUGGAGAAGCAGGCGCUGCCGGCCUCCUCCUGCUCUCUGGUUCUCCUGGAGGAAACCAAGAAGAACCCUCUCCUACAUCCAAACGGUGCCUGUGGUUACCCCACAGCUGCCACUAACGGUACCCUGGUCCCGUUGACGGGGGCGGGGUCCAGUGGUGGAGCAUGUGCCGGGCCGGAGAAGAAGGUGGCACCGGCUGUGCCCGCGUAUGAAGAGCGAGAAACCUGGACCCGGCAGAUGGACUUCAUGAUGUCCUGCGUGGGCUUCGCCGUCGGCCUGGGAAACGUGUGGAGGUUCCCGUACCUGUGCUACAAGAACGGAGGAGGCGUCUUCCUGAUCCCCUACAUGCUGAUCGUGUUUGUCGGAGGGAUCCCGGUCUUCUUCCUGGAGAUCGCUCUGGGACAGUUCAUGAAGGCCGGCAGUAUUAACGUCUGGAACAUCGCUCCACUCUUUAAAGGUCUGGGUUACGCCUCCAUGGUGAUAGUGUUUUUCAGCAACACCUACUACAUCAUGGUGUUGGCCUGGGGCUUCUACUACCUGAUCAAGUCCUUCAACGCCACCCUCCCUUGGUCCACGUGCGACAACGAGUGGAACACGCCCAACUGCAUCGAGAUCUUCCGCCACCAGGACUGCAUCAACGGCACGCUGGCCAAUGACACUAUCAACGGGAACAUGACCUGCGCCGAACUCGCCAACGCCCGGUCGCCCAUCAUCGAGUUCUGGGAAAACAAGGUGCUGAACAUCUCGUCUGGUCUGGGGGAAACUGGAGAGUUUAACUGGGAGCUGAUGUUGUGUCUGAUUGCCGUCUGGGUCAUGGUUUACUUCUGCGUGUGGAAGGGAGUCAAAUCCACUGGAAAGAUUGUGUACUUCACGGCGACCUUCCCCUACAUCGUCCUCAUCAUCCUGCUGGUCCGAGGCGUCACACUUCCUGGAGCGUACGACGGCAUCAUGUUCUACAUCAAACCUGAUUGGUCCAAACUGGGGGAGGCUCAGGUCUGGAUCGACGCCGGCACUCAGAUCUUCUUCUCCUACGCCAUCGGACUGGGAGCGCUGACCGCUCUGGGGAGCUACAACCGCUUCAACAACGACUGCUACAAAGAUGCGUUUGUCCUGGCGAUGAUAAACAGCGGGACCAGUUUCUUCGCCGGCUUCGUGGUGUUUUCUAUUCUGGGCUUCAUGGCUGCAGAGCAGGGAGUGCACAUCUCACAGGUUGCUGAAUCAGGUCCCGGUCUGGCCUUCAUCGCGUAUCCGAAGGCGGUGAGUCUGAUGCCGGUGGCUCCUCUCUGGGCCGCGCUCUUCUUCUUCAUGCUGCUGCUGCUGGGACUCGACAGUCAGUUUGUGGGGGUGGAGGGUUUCGUGACGGGAAUCCUGGAUCUGUUUCCUGGAAAAAGCCAGUAUCGCUACAAAAGGGAAAUCUCUGUGGCCGUGUGUUGCCUGCUGUGCUUCAUCAUCGACCUCUCCAUGGUGACACAGGCUGGGAUGUACGUCUUCCAAUUGUUUGACUACUAUUCAGCCAGUGGAAUGAGCCUGUUGUGGCAAGCAUUCUGGGAAUGCAUAGUAGUUGCCUGGGUCUACGGUGCCGACCGCUUCAUGGACGAUGUCGCCCGUAUGAUCGGCUACCGGCCGUUCCCCUGGAUGAAGUGGUGCUGGUCCUUCAUCACGCCGUGCGUCUGCAUGAGGUUUCCCGAGAACGUUAGGAGACCCCGGGGUCGACCCAGAACACGCCGGAGAGAUUAUAAAUCUCAUCUGGCCUGGGAAUGCCUCGGGAUCCCCGGGAAGAGCUGGGAAAUGUUGCUGGGGGAAUCUUCAUUUUCCACCUGGUGAACUACAAGCCGCUGACCUACAACAACACGUACGUCUACCCGUGGUGGGGGGAGGUGAUCGGAUGGUGUCUGGCUCUCUCCUCCAUGCUCUGCAUCCCCGUCAGCAUCCUGUACAAACUCUUCAGUGCUAAGGGCACCUUCAAAGAGCGCUGGGCUCACCUCACCACCCCGGUGUGGGGGCCCCACCACCUGGAGUACAUGGCCCCCGACAUCAGGUCCCUGACCUCCAUGUCCCCCGGCACAGACGAGAACAAGGUCAUCAUUUUCGAGAGCGUCAUGUAGGCCGGACUCUAUCUCCACCAAUCCCACCUACGACAAGAUGACUUCCGCCUCCACUGAUUGGUCGUCUUCCUCGGAUUAACCAAUCGGUGGCCUUCCUUCGAUCGUCACCGGGCAGACCAAAGCUGGAAGAUUUUCCAUCCCUGUAAACGAAUUAAAGAACAAAGCAGCUCCUCCAGGUGGAUUUAAACAAUCACUGCAACAACUUCCUAGUUUCCCCCUUCGAAAUUCAACCCAAAUGUGAGAUUUGAAAACCAGCAGAUAAAUGUGUUGUUUACCUGCAAAGGGCUCCAUCUCAAAGUGUAAAUAUAAUAUGUCACUGAGGCCAUGCAACAGCUUUUUUCCUGGAGGAGCUGCAGAAGAGAGAGUUUCACUGUGUUCAGAAACAGCUGCUGGGCUUCCUCCAUGUUGCAGUGUCUUGUCUCUGGGUGGGCGGGGUGGACAUGCAAACACACAGCCAUCACACACACACACACACACACACACACAAAAACACACACACUGCCUCAACAGGGACUGGUGCUCGAGACUUGUGGGUAAACUUUCUGACACUUUCUGUGUGUGUGUAAUGGCCUUUCUUCAGACGGAGUUGUAGACAGACCGGGAGAAUUAACAGAGGUCGUUUGCGCCGUAACGGGAUGUAAAAAAAGGCCUUUGAUUGUCAGUCCUGUUGUGAAGCGUAAAACACUAAAGGAAAGAUGGAAGCCAUAUUGCAAUCGGACGAGGAAACGUAGCCACUUCUGAGUGGUUUUACCUCCUGUUACGGAGCUUUAAACUCGCCAGUGAACGCACCGUCGGUCCUGAUGUCUUCGAGUCUGUUUGUGAGCACUUUCUGAGACGCUCUGAUUGUUAUUGAUCUAAAAACCGGAUCAGGACUGAAGUCUUCCUCAUCGUUUGUUUGUUUUUUUUAUAGCAGCUUGCAUCCAGAUUAAAAACUGUGAAUGAACAGCGUGACGUUUUCUGACCGCCCGCCUCUGUUUUCACACCUUGGUGAUAUUAGAAGGAAAGCUCCGGUGAGAAUUCAGUCAUUAAUCAUUUAGUGCGGUUUAUUUGACCCAAAUGUAGUAUUAUAUCCAGGUGUCUUAUUUACUUUCUAAUUCACUCAGUAAAGAUGAUGGAAGAGAAGCUUAAAUCAUCUAAAAAAAAGCUAAAUUUACAUUUUCUUUUCUGGAGAUUUUGACCACAAAGCUUGGGAUUUCUCAGCAAAAAUCAGCUUCAAGUUCCAGUUUUCUCUGCAAACAAAUAAACACAUUAAAUAUUUAGUAAGACAAUCUUAACUUGCUUGACCCAAGGAGAAAAUGAACCAGCAUUUACCUUAUUCAUAUUCAUUUUUCUACUUCUUUAUCCAAAGCAAUGAUAUUAAUAAUUGAUUAAUUGGCAAAACAUUUAUCAAGAAAAAGCUGCAUUUUUUUUUGACUGUAAUUCAGACAAAAAAAGGCAAUAACAGAAGGAAAUGUUGACAUGUAGCAGACUAAUUGAAUGGUUUGAUCAACAGUCAUGGACAGAUUAAUAUUAAAUAAAGACAAUUAUUACUUGAAGCAAAUCCUGGAGUAAGGAUUACCUGCUCCAGGUUCAGUUUGUGGAUUUAUUGCAAAGCUGAAGAACUAAAUCAACUCCACUUCAUCACAAACUCUCACGACAGGUUAAUCUUAAUUAGCAGAUUAAACACCUGAUAUUCUCCUCCUCCUGAGUCCACCAGUAGUCCCAGUCUGUGAACACAGAGACUGAAACCACGCUGGAUCUGACCUCUAAUCUUUGGGUCUUCGUUCUGCGCCCCCCCACGCCGGGUCGACUGAAGUGCCAAACGGAGCGGUACUGAUCCCAGAUCAGCGCUCCAGGCUGCCAAUAUCAUUUAAUAUCAACACAGUUCUUCUUCUUCUCUGCCUCGUCGCAUCAUUAAGGCUGAAGUCCUCCCACCAAACAUCACGCUCUCCUCUUUAGCAGCUGAUAGAAAAACAGUAAAACCCCAUAAUCUGGUUUCCGGGGUUAGAAUAAAGUCUGAUAACAGGACCAGAUUUAGUCUUGAACUGGUUCUGCACAUCUGUAUUCAGCACAUAAAAAAGCAGCAAUGCAGAUGACCAAAAUAUUUGACGAUAUUUCAUUGUUUUUAAAUGUCAAUAAAAAGACCCUCAUCGUAAAUGGAUGUGAGGUCUUAAUAUAGAUACACAAUUCAAACUCAAAUAUAGAUAUUAGUAAGAGCUUACUUUAGAGCGCUGAUUCUCAAAGGUCGUUCAUAAAAAUGAUCAUGAUGCAGAAUUUUAUUUUUUAUUUGCUCAAAAAAGUCCUAACAUUUCCACCAUUUAAAUUGUAUUAUUUCAACAUUUUUCAAAUUAUAUUAAAUUAUAUUAAAUUGCAUUGAUCAACUUCUAAUCCAAUAACAUUUUAAAAAUCCAUCAAACAUGUUUUAUAUUAGCUAAACUAAAAGUGUAAAAAUGUUAAAUUCAAAGGGAAAUACACAAGAAACUCAACAACAAAAACAAUGUGUUGUUAAAAUGACUUUUUAAUUUGUUUGGUCGAAAAAAAAGUGAAAUCAGUGUUUAUUAUUUACCCAUGUUCAGCUGGUGGAGAGAUGAGAGCCUGAGGACUCAACCUGAUGCCAAGCGUUGCCUUACGUCGUUGUCUUAACUCCAGAGCCAAUCACAGUACGGCUCUGCUUUAAAAUCCCACCAAUCAGCAGUCUGCGUGGGGGGGAGGGGGCGUGUCUACAACUCUGUCUCCGAGCAACCACUCACCAUCCACCUAUCACAUAACGAUUAGAAUGUAAAAUAUAUAUAUAUUAUUAAAAAUAUACAUUUGCACAUUGUUGUAAAAUAAUGUGGCUAGCACUUUCCGGAAGAAUCAUGUCUAGAAAUCAUGUUUUGUUUUACAUAUUGUAAAAUGAAUCAGAGAUUUAUUUUGUGGAGGCUUUUAUUUUGCUGAUACAUACAGUAUGACAGAUAUAUAUAUAUAUUGAAUAUCUUUGUGCGUUAUCUAUAUUUGAUGCAGUAUGUGAUUUUGAUGAUGAUUUCACGGCUGAUUUGUUCGCGCUUUAGCCGGCGAAACACCAGCGACGAAGCGACGCCGGCUACCUCACUUCCCAUUUAGACCUUUCAAAAUAAAACUCCCUUCAGCUUUUUAUGCAAAUGUCUUGUCAGCGGCGGCGUCGGCUGGCAGCAGGAGAGGAUUCUGGGAGUGUUGUUCGAAACACUUCCCUCCUCGGCCUGUUUCACGUCGCUGCUUUAAAGUUUGUCCAGCACCAAGGGAAAUAUUUUAUUCUGAAAAUCACGAAGGAUUCAAAAUGUGUCAAUUAAAAACUAAAACUGAAGAUAAUUGUGUUUAAUUGGACUUUAAAGUGUCACAUUUCUAUGGAUCUACGUCCCUUAUUGAUUACAAAUGUAUUAUUUGAAAACGUUGGUGCUGCGAGACUUUUAAUUGGUGUCUGACCGGCUAAUGGGAACAAUCAGCGAUAGGCAGGGCUUUUAUUUUGGCGGGGUUUGCUGCGAUGCAGUGACGUUAAGGCUUCGUGUGUCUCUGAACACACCACGAAAGGGAAUGUUAUUCUAUGUCUUUGUUCAAAGUGCUCUAAGUGUUUUGAAGAGUUUUAGUUUUAGAUGGUUUAAUUUUUUCUCUGUGUAUUUCUGAAUAUCAGUAUUUCAUCCUCAGACCCCGUCACGGCUCAGACUCACAUUCUAAUUAUUUUACAAGCAGAUAAAUACAACCUGCUUGUUUGUUUUUUUCCAUAGAAUUAAUUUACAAAAUGUCGACAUUAUGGCACAUGAUUAAAAAUACAGCACUUUGUUUUUAAAAUUAGGAUAAAAAAAAGUUUUAAAGGCUGAAAAACUGCCAUUUAAAAUAAUUAAUUGUCAGUUUUUGUAGAAAUAGGCAGAAUAAACCUCUCACUCCCACCUGCACUAUUACACCUGGGAAAUAUCUUCAGUUAAAAUAUCAAUAAUAUUAACUGUAGUAGAAAAUAAGAACUACACAUCCCAGCAGUCAGUGGGAGCCUCCAUAGGAUAUCGAUACCAUAUAUGGUAAACCAGCAAAUGAGACACGACCAUAUAUGGAGAGUUCCUGUAGCCAAGUCUGCCUCUUCAAAACUAAAGCAGCAAAAUAAACUGAAUUUAAUUUCACAUAAACAAAGAAAUGACAUUUUCUUUUAAAGUGAGAAUAAUAACAGACUAAACUGAAUGUGGUUUAAUCCUGUUUAGGCCAAUCAGAGCCUCUGCUUGCCCAAUUAAAUAAUCAAAAUGAUGAAGCAGGACCAGACCAGCCAAUCACUGUGACACAGGGUGAGCGAUUCGGAUCGAUCCAAAAUAUAAUGGCUUCUUUAUGGGGUGAUGCGUCACCAUUUCACCAAGUAUCAUGAAUUUCGGGCAGGUAGUUUUUGCUUAAUCCCUAUUACAAACAAACCUUUAAUUGGCGUCCUAAUUGGUAAAGUUAAUUACUGUCUAAAAACUGACGUCCAAGGUAAUUGAAGCCAAUUUGAAUGGAUCUAAAGUUUAUAUUGUGAUUAUUUGUCACAGUAUUAAUAUCGUUUGAAUUAUCUACAAAACUAUUCAGUUGUGUGGUGAAUUUAAUCAAUUACAAGUUAAAAAUGACCAAUUUAUAUUCAAAGUGAUGGUCAAAAAAUACUGAUUUCACCUGUAAAAAUGAUCUAGUUAUUGGAAAUUAAUCCAAACUUUUUGGACUAAAAGCAUCAGUUUUAGGAGUCAAGUGUAAUGAAUUAAAAAGUGAGUUAACGGCUAAUGAAAUAACACUAAUUAAUGAUGAAAUUAACAAUUUUCUGCGUAUCGAUUGGCCGGUCUGGUGGAUUUAAAUGGAGUACAUAGAGAGAUUAUUAGUGAGGAUUUAAACUAGUGAGAUUAUAUGUUGUAGAGGCCACAAACAUUACACUAAUUAAACUAACCUACAGCAGUAUUCUAUUUAAAAAUGACAUUAACACAAAUCAUUAUUAUAUUUUUUAAGUUUUAAUUAUCAUUGUUUUUUAAAUGUCUGGAGCCUGGUGGGUCAGAGGGGGGGGGGGGGAAUAAUUAAUAAGAAAACAUCUGCAGCCGUUAAAGAAAAUGAGGAAAAACACAGCUUGAAGAAAUGAAAAUGUACAUUACCAAAAUCUGAUGUUUCAUGUCAUUUUGUCUUUGUGCUCUCUGCCAAAAAUAUCCUUGUUGCGACAGAAUCGAUGAUCAAAUCUGCCCGGAGACAGCACAGGAAGCCCUGAUUGGUUAACAAAAUGAAAUGGCAUAUAUAUCACUCUCUGCAGUAACAAAUAUUUGGUUACCUUAUUCUAAAAAAAAAGAGAGAGAAAGUUUAGGAAAUAUUUCUCAAGCUUUUUAUCAUCGAUUCUGUCCAACCAACUCCGCUGGUUUCCAUCACAGAGCGUCUGUUCCCCAAAAACCUCGUCCUCUUCUCUCAGCUUGUUAAAGAAAAUGAAACAUGUGAUUCCUGCUUCAUUUUACUGUAGAUACAUCUUGUUUUAUAGGGCAACUUUUUGAGAAAUAUUGUCAAUGAUUUUAUAGCCAAAAACAUUGCCAAAGUGUUUUUUAACCUCCAGAAUAAAGAAAUACGGAAGCUCAAAAGGGACAAAAAUGAGUUGUUUUUGUUUGUUUCUGUUGGGAUCUGUUGUUUCUGAAAUUCAAAAGAUAUUUGAUUGGGAUUUUAAGUAACGCUCUUACGUUCACAUUUUUGGGGAAACUGAGGUCGGAUCAGAUGAACCAGCAGGGGGCGCUUGUCACCGGUUUGGGCUGGAAACCUUAAAAAUACACAUUUUGUUUUAGCAAAAACAUCCCAAAAUUCAUCGAUAUUUUUUUUUUUUAAAUCAACAAAGUAACAAACGUUUGAAACGAUGUUCCUGAUGAGCUACAUAAAGUCGGAGAAAAUGACGUUAUGAUACGAUAAAAAACAUCUUGCAAAAAGUCGCUUACUUAGCGUUUACAUCCCCCAAAGCAUUGUGGGAAAUGUAGUUCUCCAAUCAGUUAAUUUUUUUAUUCCAAAAAUAUAAUUUUAUUGGAUAAAAGGCAUUCAAUAAGAUAUGUGUCCAAUUCAAACCUUUCACCUUCUCUCACGUUGGUGCUGAAGAUGAUUUUGUGAUGUUUCCGGCCCAAACUCAGCUUCACGUUGCCUCAUCCGUCCCGCCGUCCGUCAUUUCUGUUGUACCUGUGUCUGUGUGACUUCCUGUAACGCUCCAGUCUUCCAUACAAACAUAACUGUAGAUUAGAGACAAUCGAUUACAAGGUGAUUAAAGUAGCUUCAUUAGUUCCUAGAUGUGUACUAACGACUCUCGGGGCUCCACGUUAACGAGUCACACAGCCAAAACGAAUGCAGACUGGUGGAUGAUGAGAGUUAACUUUGAGCCCCUGAGGACGUCACCUGUUUCAUUGACCUUUGACCCCUGCGAGGGUCUCAUGCUGUAAGCCACUGUGAUCACUGUGCUCAUUAAAACACAGAAUAAAACAAAGGCAAUAAAACUAACGUCAUGACAAACAGA